rnacentral:rRNA from 1 species
AGUCCGAGCGGACCCUUUGGUGCGGAAGCCUUUCGGGCGGAAGGGCCAGGGGUUAGCGGCGGACGGGUGAGUAACGCGUGGGCCACCUGCCCUCCAGAGGGGGAUAACUCGCCUAAAGGCGGGCUAAUACCGCAUGAGUUCCUUCCGGGGCAUCUCGGAGGGAGCAAAGGCCUUCGGGCCGCUGGAGGAGGGGCCUGCGUCCCAUUAGCUUGUUGGCGGGGUAACGGCCCACCAAGGCGACGAUGGGUAGCCGGCCUGAGAGGGUGGACGGCCACACUGGGACUGAGAUACGGCCCAGACUCCUACGGGAGGCAGCAGUAGGGAAUCUUGCGCAAUGGGCGAAAGCCUGACGCAGCGACGCCGCGUGGGGGAAGAAGGCCUUCGGGUCGUAAACCCCUGUCCCAGGGGACGAGAAGGGACGGUACCCUGGGAGGAAGCCCCGGCUAACUACGUGCCAGCAGCCGCGGUAAUACGUAGGGGGCGAGCGUUGUCCGGAAUGACUGGGCGUAAAGGGUGCGUAGGCGGCCCGAGAGGUCCUGGGUGAAAGGCCCCGGCUCAACCGGGGAGGGCCCCAGGAAACCGGCGGGCUAGAGGGCUGGAGAGGGCCGCGGAAUUCCCGGUGUAGCGGUGAAAUGCGUAGAUAUCGGGAAGAACACCAGUGGCGAAGGCGGCGGCCUGGACAGAACCUGACGCUGAGGCACGAAAGCUGGGGGAGCGAACAGGAUUAGAUACCCUGGUAGUCCCAGCUGUAAACGAUGAGUGCUAGGUGUG